rnacentral:tRNA from 1 species
GGCUCAGUAGCUUAGUUGGUAAAGCGCUUGUCUAGCGUAUAAGGGUCGUGAGUUCAAAUCUCACCUAAGCUG